GACGAACGCUGGCGGCGUGCUUAACACAUGCAAGUCGUACGGUAAGGCCCUUUCGGGGGUACACGAGUGGCGAACGGGUGAGUAACACGUGAGUAACCUGCCCACAACUUUGGGAUAACGCUAGGAAACUGGUGCUAAUACUGGAUAUGUGCUCCUGCUGCAUGGUGGGGGUUGGAAAGCUCCGGCGGUUGUGGAUGGACUGGCGGCCUAUCAGCUUGUUGGUGGGGUAGUGGCCUACCAAGGCGGCGACGGGUAGCCGGCCUGAGAGGGUGACCGGCCACAUUGGGACUGAGAUACGGCCCAGACGCCUACGGGAGGCAGCAGUGGGGAAUAUUGCACAAUGGGCGCAAGCCUGAUGCAGCAACGCCGCGUGCGGGAUGACGGCCUUCGGGUUGUAAACCGCUUUCAGCAGGGACGAAGCUUUUUGUGACGGUACCUGCAGAAGAAGCACCGGCUAACUACGUG
rnacentral:rRNA from 1 species